GUCUGGCUGGCUCAGUCAGUAGAGUAUGUGACUCUUGAUCUCGGGGUUGUGAGUUCAAGCCCCACGUUGGGUG
rnacentral:tRNA from 1 species